GAGCGCCCAUUAACUCAUGGCAAGAAUGUAAAAUGAUGCAACUGCUUUGGAAAACUGUUUGGCAAUAUGUUUGGGAAUUAAAUACACAACUACCACAUGAUCUAGCCAUUUCAUUCCUAGGCAUUUACCCAAGAGAAUUACCAAAAGUCUUGUACACAAAUGUUCAUAGCAGCUUGAUUUGUAAUAACCAGAAACUGGAAACAACGCAAACGUGUAUCACCAUGUGAAGAGAUAAACAAGUGGUGUUAUAUCCAUACAAUAGAGCACUACUGAGUAAUGAAAAGUGAUGAACUAUUCAUACAUGCAUCAAGAUGGAUGAAUUCCAAAAUAACUAUUCUGAAGAGGAGCCAGACAGAAAAGGAGAACAUGCUUUAUGAUUCCAUUUAUGUCAGGGUUGCAGCUAUUGGAGACGUGGUCUGCGAGCCUCUUGCCAUCUAACUUCUCAGGUCCUGCGAAGUCCAUCUGGACACGCUGUCUGUUACAGGUUACAGCCCUGCUUCACAAACAACUUCUUAGUGGCUUUUGGAUCAGUUCUUGUCAGAUCCUCCCUGGGGAAAAAAGGGAAA
rnacentral:lncRNA from 1 species